GACGAACGCUGGCGGCGCGCCUAACACAUGCAAGUCGAACGAGCGAGCGAGAGCUUGCUUUCUCAAGCGAGUGGCGAACGGGUGAGUAACGCGUGAGGAACCUGCCUCAAAGAGGGGGACAACAGUUGGAAACGACUGCUAAUACCGCAUAAGCCCACAGGUCGGCAUCGACCAGAGGGAAAAGGAGCAAUCCGCUUUGAGAUGGCCUCGCGUCCGAUUAGCUAGUUGGUGAGGUAACGGCCCACCAAGGCAACGAUCGGUAGCCGGACUGAGAGGUUGAACGGCCACAUUGGGACUGAGACACGGCCCAGACUCCUACGGGAGGCAGCAGUGGGGAAUAUUGCACAAUGGGGGAAACCCUGAUGCAGCGACGCCGCGUGGAGGAAGAAGGUCUUCGGAUUGUAAACUCCUGUUGUUGAGGAAGAUAAUGACGGUACUCAACAAGGAAGUGACGGCUAACUACGUG
rnacentral:rRNA from 1 species